rnacentral:rRNA from 1 species
GAGUUUGAUCCUGGCUCAGAACGAACAUUGGCGGAAAGCUUAACACAUGCAAGUCGAGCGAGGCUACGAGCCUAGCGGCGAACGGGUGCGUAAUACAUAGGAAUCUACCCCGAAGUGGGGGACAACUAGCAGAAAUGCUAGCUAAUACCCCAUAAUCCAUAUUGGGAAAGCGCGCAGCGCUUUGGGAUGAGCCUAUGGCCGAUUAGCUAGUUGGUGGGGUAAAAGCCUACCAAGGCGACGAUCGGUAGCUGGUCUGAGAGGAUGAUCAGCCACACUGGAACUGAGACACGGUCCAGACUCCUACGGGAGGCAGCAGUGGGGAAUCUUGCACAAUGGGCGCAAGCCUGAUGCAGCUAUUCCGCGUGCGCGAUGACGGUCUUCGGAUUGUAAAGCGCUUUCGAUGGGGACAACGAUGAUGGUACCCAUAAAAGAAGUCACGGCUAACUUCGUGCCAGCCGCCGCGGUAAG